CCACCGGGUCGAUAUCUGGCGAACUGUAAUUAGGUGAAAUUUGAAAACAGCGUGCCGAAGUCAUUGGGCCAAGAGGUAUAAAACAUUUUCAAAAUGACCAUGCUUCCGGUUGUACCGGAAGUACAUGCACCACUGGCAACAUUGAUCAAAUUAGACGCUGCAAACAUCACAAACCCUUCCAGAAGGGUUAGUGUAUAUGCUGCUAUCGUGCCGACUCCAUAGUGUUUCAUUGAAGCAAUAUUUUACUGUUUUAUAUUUACGUGGCCUGUUGCAAACAUGGCGCACUCACAUGUUAAAUAUGUACGAAAAAUCAAGAAACAAAGAUGGGGGCGCUCUCAGAUAAUUUAUCAGGCCGACAGCUCCGUGCCGGUGCCGAAGUAUUUGUAAGAAACGAAGAUGAACCGCCUGAAGGAAAGAGGGAAGAAACUGAACAGCACGCCAGUAACACAAAAAAAAGCAAAAAUAGAAAAUCAAAGAAAGUUUCUAUGCAGACAGAAUGGAUAGAUGGAGAUUUGAUUCUUUCGCCAGGCCCUUUUCCUAUAUCCAGAGAGUGUAACGGAUAAAAAUGGGAUUUAGCCAAUGGUUCACCUGUCUGCUAACCCGUUGGUCAAAUGUAUGUAGUAAUAAGUUAUAGUUGUAAUAAGCUAUUUUGUCAAUCGAUUUUCACUUGUAACUUGGAUUUAGUAAGCAUGUUUGUCAGAUUAGGUUAGUAAUAUUUUGGGGAUUAUUUGAAUUUUGAUAUUUGGAUAUUCGUAUCUCUCUCCCAAACAUCAGCAGUCUUUAUCAUGGGUUUGUCUGGCAACGUGGUGGUUGCCCCACCUUCACGGACCACCGUUAUUUAUGGGAAGGGACGAGGAGUGGACCCAGCAGGGUCACCGAGCGAAGGGCAAUCAAGUACCAGAAUUUGCGGAGUCAAGUAGCAGAGAUUGCCGAAAAUAGUCCUCCGAAUCCGCCAAUUGAUCUCCGAAUCCGCCAAUUGACCUCCGAAUCCGCCAUAUUCUGCUGGGUGGUAGAUCUGCCCGCUGCUAGAACAUCCGUUUGGGGACAUCGGCCGCCUCCUGGUUCCUGACUGGGGAUAUUAACCCACUGAAAUUGUGGACUGGAUAGCCAAGGACGGUCUGGAUGAGAUCUGGACCUAGCACGUAGGCAUCGGCAGCACGUGGCGGCGACUUCAUAGACUUGCUGGUGUUUGGGGCGAGUAUUGCUAUUGGUUGUAUGGUAUGUGGCUCACCAUUUUCCUUUUUUUAUAUCAUCAUUCAAGUCAGUUUAUGUACUAUCACGGUAAAAGAAUUGAGUAGAUAUUUCAGAGACUUGCUAUGCAGAGAUAGUAAGAUUUUUCGGAGACUUUGGAGACUUGCUGGUGUUUGGGGCGAGUAUAGCUAUUGGUUGUCUAUUAUUAAUUUGUAAUUUCUAGAAAUUUUUAUUUAAUUAAGUAGUUAACGUAGGUUACAGAUCAAACGGUUAGCAGACGGUAGUUUGCGGUCGUCAAACCAGGUUUUCUUGUUCUUUAUUAAGCUCACCAUUUUCCUUUUUUUGUAUCAUCAUUCAAGUCAGUUUAUGUACUAUCACGGUAAAAGAAUUGAGUAGGAAUUUUGGCAGCAUUCCAUCGCAGAGUGUUCUAGCUUUGCUGCGAAAGCUAGUGGCGCUCAAACGAAUUCACCCUCCGGGCUUUGCACACGACCGCCCGACAUACCCGCUCAAGGGAAACCUUUUUUUUCUCUCUC